GGUAGACUAAUAGGUAGAAAAAUAAAAAGGAAUUUAGUAAAUAAGUAUAUAAGUAUAUUCUACAAAAAGAUCGGCAGAGCCGGGAGUGGGUUUAGAAUAAUCGAGCUCGCGUUAAGUUCUGGCCCGCUAUAGAAACACUACUACCCUGUAUAGUCAGGCAGCUCGGCAGCGGUCAGGCGGGGUAAGUGUGCAGCGCGCUAGUAGAUGCCGGACGCGCAGGUAGAUGCAGGACACGUAGAUAGGCGCGGCACGUAGGUAGACACAGGCACGUAGGUAGACACAGCCACGUAGGUAGACAGGCGCGUAGGUAGGUGCACUUAGGGUAGGUGCACUACGGUAGGUGCACUGGAGGUAGUCAGGUACUUGAACCCUGGAAUGUCCGUUACGUUCCGUCUUAGUUACGGUCCGGUUAUAUCCAGCCACGACUGCAACA
rnacentral:lncRNA from 1 species